UGUGGGAGCGAGCUCGCUCGCGAUAGCAUUGGAUCAGUCAGCCGUGAUUUAGCUGACCCACCGCAAUCGCGAGCGAGCUCGCUCCCACA
rnacentral:misc_RNA from 1 species